rnacentral:rRNA from 1 species
UUAAAUUGAAGAGUUUGAUCAUGGCUCAGAUUGAACGCUGGCGGCAGGCCUAACACAUGCAAGUCGAACGGUAACAGGAAGCAGCUUGCUGCUUUGCUGACGAGUGGCGGACGGGUGAGUAAUGUCUGGGAAACUGCCUGAUGGAGGGGGAUAACUACUGGAAACGGUAGCUAAUACCGCAUAACGUCGCAAGACCAAAGAGGGGGACCUUCGGGCCUCUUGCCAUCGGAUGUGCCCAGAUGGGAUUAGCUAGUAGGUGGGGUAACGGCUCACCUAGGCGACGAUCCCUAGCUGGUCUGAGAGGAUGACCAGCCACACUGGAACUGAGACACGGUCCAGACUCCUACGGGAGGCAGCAGUGGGGAAUAUUGCACAAUGGGCGCAAGCCUGAUGCAGCCAUGCCGCGUGUAUGAAGAAGGCCUUCGGGUUGUAAAGUACUUUCAGCGGGGAGGAAGGGAGUAAAGUUAAUACCUUUGCUCAUUGACGUUACCCGCAGAAGAAGCACCGGCUAACUCCGUGCCAGCAGCCGCGGUAAUACGGAGGGUGCAAGCGUUAAUCGGAAUUACUGGGCGUAAAGCGCACGCAGGCGGUUUGUUAAGUCAGAUGUGAAAUCCCCGGGCUCAACCUGGGAACUGCAUCUGAUACUGGCAAGCUUGAGUCUCGUAGAGGGGGGUAGAAUUCCAGGUGUAGCGGUGAAAUGCGUAGAGAUCUGGAGGAAUACCGGUGGCGAAGGCGGCCCCCUGGACGAAGACUGACGCUCAGGUGCGAAAGCGUGGGGAGCAAACAGGAUUAGAUACCCUGGUAGUCCACGCCGUAAACGAUGUCGACUUGGAGGUUGUGCCCUUGAGGCGUGGCUUCCGGAGCUAACGCGUUAAGUCGACCGCCUGGGGAGUACGGCCGCAAGGUUAAAACUCAAAUGAAUUGACGGGGGCCCGCACAAGCGGUGGAGCAUGUGGUUUAAUUCGAUGCAACGCGAAGAACCUUACCUGGUCUUGACAUCCACAGAACUUUCCAGAGAUGGAUUGGUGCCUUCGGGAACUGUGAGACAGGUGCUGCAUGGCUGUCGUCAGCUCGUGUUGUGAAAUGUUGGGUUAAGUCCCGCAACGAGCGCAACCCUUAUCCUUUGUUGCCAGCGGUCCGGCCGGGAACUCAAAGGAGACUGCCAGUGAUAAACUGGAGGAAGGUGGGGAUGACGUCAAGUCAUCAUGGCCCUUACGACCAGGGCUACACACGUGCUACAAUGGCGCAUACAAAGAGAAGCGACCUCGCGAGAGCAAGCGGACCUCAUAAAGUGCGUCGUAGUCCGGAUUGGAGUCUGCAACUCGACUCCAUGAAGUCGGAAUCGCUAGUAAUCGUGGAUCAGAAUGCCACGGUGAAUACGUUCCCGGGCCUUGUACACACCGCCCGUCACACCAUGGGAGUGGGUUGCAAAAGAAGUAGGUAGCUUAACCUUCGGGAGGGCGCUUACCACUUUGUGAUUCAUGACUGGGGUGAAGUCGUAACAAGGUAACCGUAGGGGAACCUGCGGUUGGAUCACCUCCUUACCUUAAAGAA